GUCCCCUUAGCUCAAUGGCAGAGCACACGGCUUACAUCCGUGGGGUUAUAGGUUCGAGUCCUAUAGGGGGCA
rnacentral:tRNA from 1 species